GAUGGUGGUGGAAUUGAGGAGGGGGAUGGGGGGAAACCGCUGCAUGGCUCGCGCCCGCGCACACAACUUCAGCUCGCGCACUGCAGCAGCGGCAGCGGAGACGCGCGUCCACGGUGGGGCGGGACUCGGGAGCUCGGAGAAGCUACAAUAGACCGAAGUGCUUCCAAAACUUGUCUUAAAGAUUCAUCAGCACCUCAGGUAAUAGCAGAGGAUGGAAAUGACUGAGAGUAGAAAGGCUGACUUCGGAAGAAUUUUAAGGUUCUCCACAGUUUUGGAUUUAUAGUUAGAUGCCUGCAUUGUGAAUCUAUUCUAUACCAUUUCACAUGCUACUGAUUUUCUGUCUCAUGUUAUAAAACUUGCAAACAAUCCUCUGAAAAAAGGCUAACAUUGGCACCUGGGAGGGGGAUGCAGCUGAGAAGAGAGGAUGUCAUAUCUCAUGCUGACGUGCUUGGGCCUCUUCAUGAACUCAAGGUUGGUAUGGGGGGAGGGUAUUAGUUAUCUCCUUCUUGCACAAAGGAGUGGACAUGGAGGCCCCUUUCCAUACUUUGGUAUGGCUGUAGCUUCUGAUAAGGACACUAAUUACCGCUCCCCAUCUGGAGCUAUGCUGACCAUGUUUAUCUUAGUAAAAAGCAAAGUUGUCUCUUGUUUGUUCAGCUUCUCUUAGCCAAUAUUGUUCCCAGUGGGCUAGGCCCCCAGCUCAAACCAAGCUUUGGACUUUGGGCCUAUGUGAAAAGUUGCUGACAGGACUUGUGGUCAGGGUUUUACAAACACAGCAAAUGGAUUUUGGCCCUUCAUAUAUAUUACAGGUUUCAAAGCGGUAGCCGUGUUAGUCUGUAUCAGCAAAAACAACGAGUCUUUUUAUGGACACCACGGAAGCAGCCUUGCAUACACUCAAGGACUCCCAUGCCAUGCUGAAAACC